AUGUGUGUUCCGGAAAACAGAGGUGGCAUCGGCUUUCGUGAUAUUCAGAGUUUCAAUUUGGCCAUGCUUGCAAAACAGUGUUGGAGGCUAAUUGAGAACUUUGACUCUCUUUGUGCUAAAGUUCUUCGGGCAAAAUAUUGUCGAAGUGGGGACUUGUUAAAUUGUGCUCUGAAGAAAGGCGCAUCAUAUGUGUGGCAAAGCAUAUGGGCAGGCAUCCAAACAUUUAGAGAAGGAUGUAUAUGGAUAGUAGGUAAUGGAACGAAAAUCAAUAUAUGGGAUGAUAGUUGGAUUCCUACUGGUCCAUCGAGGAAAAUUAUUACACCCAGAGGAAAUAUUUGUUGUCUAAAGUAA
rnacentral:rRNA from 1 species